rnacentral:rRNA from 1 species
GGAAAGAAAUCCUUGGUUCUAAUACAGCCGGGGGAUGACGGUACCGGAAGAAUAAGCACCGGCUAACUACGUGCCAGCAGCCGCGGUAAUACGUAGGGUGCGAGCGUUAAUCGGAAUUACUGGGCGUAAAGCGUGCGCAGGCGGUUCGCUAAGACCGAUGUGAAAUCCCCGGGCUUAACCUGGGAACUGCAUUGGUGACUGGCGGGCUAGAGUAUGGCAGAGGGGGGUAGAAUUCCACGUGUAGCAGUGAAAUGCGUAGAGAUGUGGAGGAAUACCGAUGGCGAAGGCAGCCCCCUGGGCCAAUACUGACGCUCAUGCACGAAAGCGUGGGGAGCAAACAGGAUUAGAUACCCUGGUAGUCCACGCCCUAAACGAUGUCAACUAGUUGUUGGGGAUUCAUUUCCUUAGUAACGUAGCUAACGCGUGAAGUUGACCGCCUGGGGAGUACGGUCGCAAGAUUAAAACUCAAAGGAAUUGACGGGGACCCGCACAAGCGGUGGAUGAUGUGGAUUAAUUCGAUGCAACGCGAAAAACCUUACCUACCCUUGACAUGGUCGGAAUCCUGCUGAGAGGCGGGAGUGCUCGAAAGAGAACCGAUACACAGGUGCUGCAUGGCUGUCAUCAGCUCGU